rnacentral:rRNA from 1 species
GUGCCAGCAGCCGCGGUAAGACGUAGGGGGCGAGCGUUGUCCGGAUUUAUUGGGCGUAAAGAGCGCGUAGGCGGCCCGGAAAGUCGGAUGUGAAAACCCGGGGCUCAACCCCGGGCCUGCAUCCGAUACUCCCGGGCUGGAGGCAGGUAGGGGAGAUCGGAAUUCCUGGUGUAGCGGUGAAAUGCGCAGAUAUCAGGAGGAACACCGGUGGCGAAGGCGGAUCUCUGGGCCUGUCCUGACGCUGAGGCGCGAAAGCUAGGGGAGCGAACAGGAUUAGAAACCCCCGUAGUCC